AAUAGAUACCCUGGUAGUCCACGCCGUAAACGAUGAGUGCUAAGUGUUAGAGGGUUUCCGCCCUUUAGUGCUGCAGCUAACGCAUUAAGCACUCCGCCUGGGGAGUACGGUCGCAAGACUGAAACUCAAAGGAAUUGACGGGGGCCCGCACAAGCGGUGGAGCAUGUGGUUUAAUUCGAAGCAACGCGAAGAACCUUACCAGGUCUUGACAUCCUCUGACAACUCUAGAGAUAGAGCGUUCCCCUUCGGGGGACAGAGUGACAGGUGAUGCAUGGUUGUCGUCAGCUCGUGUCGUGAGAUGUUGGGUUAAGUCCCGCAACGAGCGCAACCCUUGAUCUUAGUUGCCAGCAUUUAGUUGGGCACUCUAAGGUGACUGCCGGUGACAAACCGGAGGAAGGUGGGGACGACGUCAAAUCAUCAUGCCCCUUAUGACCUGGGCUACACACGUGCUACAAUGGAUGGUACAAAGGGCUGCAAGACCGCGAGGUCAAGCCAAUCCCAUAAAACCAUUCUCAGUUCGGAUUGUAGG
rnacentral:rRNA from 1 species